UACAAUUCUUUCUUUGUCUACGUGUGUUUGUGUGUGUGUGUGUGUGUGUGUGUAUGUGUGUCUUUCUGCCUGUGUGAGUGGAUACAUGUCAAUGUGAAAUUUUUACCAGCUCUUACCAUCUCAUGUACUGGGAAGAUGACUGUUGAGGAGAUGGAGAAAAUGCAAUCUCGCCCGCCAACAGCCCCGCAUCCAGAUCCUCCUCCAAACAGGAGAGGAGAGAGCCGCCCCUUCUCACCACCAGCACGUGA